GCGACCAGCUGGGGCACAAACAGGGAGCCACAUCAUCGGCCUUUGUUCUGAUCCAAACACACUCGCACACAAACAUGGGCCAGCCAACCUACACACUGAGCUGACUGGAACGCAGCUGUUCAUACAGAACUCUAAUGCUACCGCUCAGUGUGCGCAGAGGUUGGUCGUGACGUAAAUACAGUCAUUCUGCCCAAAAACACAGGAAGUACGACCACGCCCUGGUAUGGAGAAUUCAUGCACUUUCAAAUGAAAACUUGACUAAUGUGGAUGUGGCCCGGCGAACCCUGCAGUAAUCUCGUCUCCAGGGCGCCAUCAACCAUCGACAUCACGCAUCCUGUUGACACGGCCGUCAGGUACAGUGGACACACCCCGUCUACGAAGUGAAGUGACCCAGAUGAACACCAGCUCUGCUACACACUCUCACCGGACCACCACACCCACCUUGCCG